rnacentral:rRNA from 1 species
UACGGAGGGUGCGAGCGUUGUCCGGAAUCACUGGGCGUAAAGGGCGCGUAGGUGGCGCGGGCAGUCAACGGUGAAAGUUCGGGGCUCAACCCUGAAUCGGCCGUCGAUACUCCCGAGCUCGAGCACUGUAGAGGCAGAUGGAAUCCCGGGUGUAGCGGUGGAAUGCGUAGAGAUCCGGAAGAACACCAGUGGCGAAGGCGGCUCACUGGCCCGGUACUGACGCUGAGGUGCGAAAGCGUGGGGAGCAAACAGG